UACGGAGGGUGCGAGCGUUGUCCGGAAUCACUGGGCGUAAAGGGCGCGUAGGCGGUCUGCUAAGCGUGCGGUGAAAGCCUGGGGCUCAACCCCAGGUCUGCCGUGCGAACUGGUGGACUAGAGCACUGUAGAGGCAGGUGGAAUUCCGGUGUAGCGGUGGAAUGCGUAGAGAUCGGGAAGAACAUCAGUAGCGAAGGCGGCCUGCUGGGCUGUUGUUGACGCUGAGGCGCGACAGCGUGGGGAGCAAACAGG
rnacentral:rRNA from 1 species